ACAAGGGGGUGUGCAGAGCCUAAAGUGUGAUCUCUUUCUUUAUCAUAUCACUUCCUUAAACAAGAAAGGUGUGAUUUUUGUUAGAAGAUCAAUUUCAGCAAACAAAUGGAGGAGGAGCACGUCAAGAACAGCAAAACAUAUCGUGGAGAUGGAGAAGGCGAUGUGGGUGGUGUUCCAAUUCACAGCCAAGUCAUAAAAAUCAAGCAAGAAUUCAAGAAGAUCCAGCAUCCGUCGCUGAAGCAGACAGAGAUGAGACGUGUUAUAUGCAAAAUCACCAGGGAACGCUCACGUUCUCCUCUGGGUUUAGCCGAGAGACCCAUCUCAGUGGGCCACUAAUGGAAGGUUUACCGAAGAUCAUAUAUGAAUAUCAUGGUGAAGUUUCUCCAUAGCAGCAUCUACUUAUUAGGUUUAGGGAUCCUUUCCUUUGCUCUUUUUCCUAUGUAUAUCACUACUUUACACUCUUUUUUUUUCUGGGUCUCAGCCCCUGCCUUUAGUCCAGUUGCUCUGUUUUUGAGAUUCACUGUACAUAUCUUUGAUCAAGAGAUAAAGGUAGGAAGUUAAGGAUAUGGUGAAAUCUUUCUCCUUCCAUUUAUUUUCUUUUUCAUUUUCUUUAUCUUUGGGAUAGUUCCACCUUCUGUCAAUUUUUUAUGGAUUUAACCUGCUAAUCUAG
rnacentral:misc_RNA from 1 species